UCCCAGCAGCUCAGCGUGCAGAAGACCGAGGAGCCAUUGGUCAGUGCAGGAGGUGCCUGGCGUUUUGGAGAUGGGAUGCAGAGGAAUUCAACACAACAUGAAAUAAUCGACAAAUUCGGGGAAUGUUAAUCUGACCAUUCCCAGUUACAAAUGAUGUUUCAUGCUACCUUCUAUUCCUGCCUUCAUAAAUCAAGCUCUAAAUCUCCAGGAAAAAAUGCGCUAAGAUCGCCAGUGAAAUGUCCUUCCAACUGUGGAUGGAAAGGUAUGAUUUUGUGCAGCAGAUAAGGGACUGGCUAGAGUAAGUGUGUGCUGAGCUUUUGUGUUUGAAAGCGAGCCUGUGCACUUCUAACGACUGGAAGGUUUCCUUGCCUUCUCCGAUCUUACACACAGCAAGGACAGCAAAGCCUUCCAGACCUGCCUGUGACAUGCACUGCACAUUCUAAAGAUGCCUGUGCAAUGGAAAACACCACUGUCUCCUCCAGCACAGCUGCCAUUCUUCCAUCUUAUCGACCUUAAUGCAACAACUCCACACAGGCAGAGAUUUUAAAAUGUGUUCUUGGCAGAAGAGAGACUCAAAGAUGGGACAAAUGGGUCAUUUAAAUGCCUGUUAAAAUGGAACGGACAUAGUAUAGUCAGAGGAUUGUGGCAGCUAAGAACAUAGUCUCUGGAGCAAAUCUGCAUGGGUGGCAACCCCAAGCACUUGAGGUCCUAGUUGUAUGAACUUAGGAAAAGAAAAAGAGAACAUAUAUCCCCCUACCUUUUGAUUUCCAACAGUCUACUGAGAGGCCAACAUUAUUUGCAGGGAAAGAAAAGGGGAAUGCCAUCCCCACCCUCUCGCAGCUACA
rnacentral:sRNA from 1 species